GACCUCCCUGCACCGAGCGACCGCCAUCUGAUGGACCUCCCUGCACCGAGCGACCGCCAUCUGAUGGACGCCAUGGAGGAACUACAACCUCCAUCAUCUUCUUCUAGAAGGUUCUCAUUGUUACCACAGGACUCCAGAACACUGGAGCAUUGUGACAUCACCACAGACCACAGGUGACUCCGCCUCAAAUCUCUCAUUGGCUCUGUAGCGCUCAGGACAGUCACAUGACUCCUCACCGCCCAUGGCUGCCGUUUUCUGUAGACUUUAUCAUCUUUCUUAUAAAAUGAAGGCAAAAAGAAGGAAAAAAUGGAAGAGAGGAACAGAGACGAGAUCGGGGGAGAUGACGGCCAAGAAAGAUCAGGGCGUCCGGCGAGGACAGACCCACCUGACGGCCGCUGCUCUCCUUUGGAUGUACCGCCAUUCCAAACUACAGAUAACAUGGCGUCUAAAGAGAAGGACAGAGAGGCUGAUACAUCUUAGAAGAAAAGCCUAAAGAAUGAUGGAGAGGAGGAAGAAUGGCCUCAGAAGCCUUAUGUAUUCUGGGAGAAUCCAGAACCAAGUGACAUCACUAUGAUGGACAGCAAAGACUGUAAAGACUAAAGACCAUAACAAUCAGAUUUGGAUUUUACAAGCGAAUACAAACGUAAUCACAUUACCAUAGGCAAAACCACUGAGAAGAUCUCCAGCGAGACCACCACAAGCCUGCUAGAGAGAACAAUUAACAAGCCUGCAUGCAAGACCACCUGCAAGAACGCUUACCAACUGGUGCUACACCACCCAAAUAAGUACACAAUUGUGUAUAUGUACAUUUCUAUAUUUUGUUAAAA